rnacentral:lncRNA from 1 species
CAUUUUCUUCCCCACCACGGCCAUGUGCCUGUCGCUGUUCCUUCACUUGCCGAAGCUGGAUGAAGCGGUCUCUUGCGAGUACAGGGACUUGCCCGAGCCGUUGAAGCUACCCGGUUGCAUACCCAUCCACGGGAGGGACCUGCUCGACCCGGUCCAAGACCGCCGCAACGACGCCUACAAGUGGGUCCUCCACCACGCGAAGCGGUACAAGCUGGCGGAGGGGAUCCUUGUCAACAGCUUCGAGGAGCUCGAGCCAGGGCCGUUCGAGUACCUGAAACGGGAAGAGCCCGGGAGGCCGCCGGUCUACCCGGUGGGACCGCUGGUGAACAUGGAGCAGAGUAGCAAGUCUGACGGCUCGGAGUGCCUAAAGUGGCUGGACGGACAGCCCGACGGUUCAGUCCUGUACGUGUCGUUCGGGAGUGGUGGGACCCUCUCGUUCGACCAGAUUCAAGAGCUGGCUCUGGGAUUGGAGAUGAGCGAGCACAGGUUCUUGUGGGUGGUGCGGACCCCUAACGACAAAGCGGCCAACGCCACCUACUUCACCGUGUACAGCCAAAACGAGCCGUUCCAAUUCUUGCCCAAAGGCUUUCUCGAGAGGACCAAAGGUAGGGGCUUGGUGCUGCCGUCGUGGGCCCCGCAGGCCCAGGUCCUGGCCCACCGCUCGACCGGCGGGUUCCUCACCCACUGCGGCUGGAACUCGACCCUCGAGAGCAUGGUCAACGGCGUGCCGCUCAUCACCUGGCCACUCUACGCGGAGCAGAAGAUGAACGCUCUCAUGCUGACCCAGGACAUCAAGGUGGCCCUGAGGCCGAGGGCCGACGCGGAGACCGGCCUGGUGGGGAGGGACGAGAUCUCCCGGGUCGUGAAGGGCCUGAUGGAGGGCGAAGAAGGGAAGAAGAUCCGGAACCGCAUGAAGGACCUCAAGGACGCGUCGGCCAAGGUGCUCGGCGAGGACGGGUCCUCCGCCAGGGCGCUCUCCGAGCUGACUCUCAAGUGGAAGGCCAAAUUCGUAAAUUAGCCUCACCCGAAUCGCAUCGCCUCACAUCACGUAUCUUAUCCUUCUCUUGUCUUAUUGUUUAUAUUCACCCUCUUCUAUGUUAUUAUCUCUUCUUUAAUGCCAUCAGUGGAGCUGGUUUCUCUAUCUUUGCUCGUUUCCUCCCCUCAUCUAACUCCCCCUCCACGCACAUGUGGAGAAGUUGCUCUGUACAUGCCAAUCGGUCGUGGAAAAGUUGCCCUGUACAUGCCACUCGGCCGUGCUCACCUACUGCCCAUUUUUCAGUCGCGAAUCGAUUAUUACCUGUAACUCCGACGUGAACUAGGCGGUGGCGGUAGGUGAGAGGGAACGGCAGUCAAAACAGUGGGCUGCGUUGGUCGUGUGCGUGGGUGGAGCCUACCCCUUCGUUUAGGCCAAUGGCAUGAGCUGUGGAAGUUGGGAAACCAUUCACACAUCAGCUGCGAAAUGAUAUCUUGAUGAGCUCCCCCCCGUAAGAGGAUUAGGUAGGCGAGGGCAUUUGACAUUCCCAAUUUUCGUUAUUUUAAAAAUAAAUAUUGGGAAAGUUCAGGAAAGAGUCGGGCGCAUAAAGGAUGGGGCGGGGAGUUCAAUAAUGUUAAAUUGAAAAUCGAGGAGGGGAGGGAUAAAGGUGUGAAUGAUUGUGGGAGAAGGUGGUGGGUGAUCCCUCUAUGAAUUCCAAACGGUGGGCCUCUCUAGAAGCCUAAAGAUUCUUGUGUGGAUCGCUUUUACAAACAAAACUUACUUGUCGUUGAGAUUGUAAAAGAUAUCCGGCACUUCUGCCGAUGCUCACCAGGGAAACUCCCUACUCCACGAGUCACCAAGGAAACCUGAUAGCAAAAGGGCUUAAGCUGGUAUGAACCAAUUAAUUCGCCAGCUCCUAGGAAUGGAAAGAAUUAGCUCUACUCCACCUGAGAAAGGUUCAGAUACAGGGAUUACUUUGUAAGACUAUAGUCGUGGGGGAUAGACAUACUAGGACCUUACUAGUAGGGAAUUUGCUAUAAAAAUUAGGAUCCGUUUGUAUAAAGGAAACUUAAUUCUCGGAAAUUAAUUUCUAACUUUCUGGUAUUUAGAUGAUUCCAUGGAAUGAAAAUAAGAAGUUGAGAUUGAGGGAAAACAACUUCUCCUUUUGACAAGAAGGGAAUCACUUUCGUCAAGCCACCGAACAAAUAAAAACUAAUCAUUUCAUAGAAAAUAAUUUCAUUCAUCACGAAAUUUUCAGUGAAACAAAUACACCAUGAUAGUCUAGAGCUAGCUACUCUUUUUCUUCUUCUUCCUUACUAGGAGUCUACCUUCUCCGGAACUAGACCAAUAGGCUAGAGCAUCAUAGCAUGGGAUUCAUAACCUAGCUAUUAGAUAUGAUAUCGGGAUUUUCAUUUGCAGAUCUCAACAGCACGCAUGAUAUCAUAUUUGGAUGCUAUAUGUUUAUUUAUUUUUCAUGAUGUAGAAAUGAUAGUUACUCUGAUGUUUUACCCUUUUAUAAAUGAGACUUUUACCAAAGCUUAGUUGACAUAACACAACUCACCUUUUUCCUUUUCAUCAAGUGGAAAGGAACCAAUGACUCCAUUGCGAGUGAGACUGGCUAUAACCUUGUCAAUCAAUACAAGAUUCGCAUAUGCCAAUAGAGUCGCAAUCAUGAAAAUUUCUCUCUCUAAGUUUUUGGAGAACAAAUUCUCUCCCGGGGCAGACUUCCAGAGAAAAUCAUGUUAUUUCAGCUUUCAAACAAAUGGUAAGCUAGUCGAGUACAUCGUGCAUAUUUCAGGAUAAUAACAAGAAGAGUGGUGUUGUUCGGCUUUGAACUACGUGUGACGUGUUACUAUAUCGUGUUAUUAUGUGGUCGUUUUUCUCGAAAACACAAAAAAAAAAAAAAAAACAAAUCAAGAACUGUGCCUACAUUAACGAUGUAAAACUAUGAUUGGUAGAAAAUUGAAAUAAAAUCUAUUUUUUCAUUUUACUUUAAGACCAUUUAUUGACUCAAAGCACCGAAUUAGCCAGUCCUAACCAGUUUCGAGAACUCAGAACUAGACAACGAACCAAAGCCAUUGUAUAGAGCCUGGCCUCGUGAGGCUAAUGUACGCACCCUGGAUGGUUGCUUACCCUUUAAUUUAAAUUUUUAUUCGAAAUUUCAAUAUAAUUUUUAUGAUCUCUCACAUUGCGGUCUCAUCAUUACCAACCCUCCUACAUGACACAUUGAAAAUUGGCCAAAAUGACUAUAUUGGAAUUUUAUACAAAAUUUUAUGAUUGGAUUAAUAAAAUUGAAAUAUAAUAAUUGAAUUGGCAUCCGGAUUCCGUACAAGAAGUUUAAAAGUAAUUAGACAAUUUCUUCUUGAACUAGACCAUAGACUUGUACAACAUUAAUCUUACAGGAGUCUUGGCUCUUUUAAAAAAAUUGAUCAAUACUUUGACACUCCUCCUCGAUCUAUUCUCGCCAGCAUACUUCGUAGUUUCUCAAACUUUAUUGGAAGUUUCUGCUCUUACAUGAGUAUGCUCAAAUCUCUUAUCAAACAAAAUUCAUUCUCAAAACCAUGUCAUUUUUGUGUAACGUGUAGAGUAUUAUCAAAAUAGUAUAUGUAAUGUAAUAUUUCUUAAUAUUAACGUGAGAUAGUUCAAAAGCAUAUAUUAUAAUAUUGCAAAAAGAAAUUUGACUUCAUGCUCAUGUCUAAAUCAGCUGCAACCCUACGAAGACGGAGAAACCACAAUUUCUUAGAAUACAUUUUACGUAGCUUUCUAAAAUUUUCAUGCUGUGGAAAAUCAAGUACCACAUGAAUGAGACCUGCAAUGAUAUUUCCACAAAAGAUUAAGAAAAUGGGUAAUUAUCCAGAACUACAUCAGCACUCGUCCAACCGUAUACACGUGUCAAAACCGAUUGAUCCUCACUCAUUAAAUGACGAUGAAAGGUUUGACUACGUAAUGGCGCGCAUGAGGGCCAAGUUGCAUGGCUCUCGUGAGGAACAGAAAGUUUCAAAAAUAAUUUAAUAAAUUGAGUAAAGCUUUUCUUUUCUUUUUUUUCUUUUUUAGAUUGAGUAACGUUGUGUAUGCUAAAAAAUCAUCUUGUAAUAUUACAAGAAAAUGCAUCUCUAACGAUCGCAAGAAUUUAUCAAUAAGCAUGUGAACAAAGGACACCUGAAGAAGGGACACCUUCUGAUCGAAAUGUAUCGUAUCACUAUAAUUAUCUUUUUUAUAAACCAAUCUUAAUAUAUCUCAUAUUAUCCUAAUCCUGUUUGGUUAUCAAUGAAGUCGGGUAAUCUCUCUUUUCUUUCGGCCAAGUGAAUUAAUACCCGCCAAAUUGCUUCUUAACUAUUAUCUUUGAUCGAUCGAUAGUGAAUUCAAUCCAUUAGAUACUAAAGUCAAGAGGCCUAUCAUUAAACGGUAAGUAUGAUUCUGAAUGGUAGCCCCCUCUUUUCAAUGUCAUAUGAAGUAUGAGAUGAGCGCACGAAAUGCUGCAUUUUCUUGGUUAAAAAAAAGUUGCUACAUCAUACUGUAAAUUAAAUUUUGUAUAUCCAUUUAGGAUAUGUACGCCUGUUGUCCGAAUUCAAAUCUUGUGCAAUUGACGAAUGAUUCUAGAAGCUCGUCCGUCAUGCAUGUCCUCGUGCAACAAUUCAUCGAGAAUGCCUUUUACAAGUUCUUCGGCCGGAAUGGGCCAUCGCGUUGUCCUCUUGAAUUGUGACUGAUACCAACCAGUUUGAUUUUACCUUUUCUGUUGAACUUUCCCAUGAAGGAAAGUAGGUUAGACUAGUGUAUCUUUUCUUUUUCAUUUAUUUAGUUUUUAUGGUUUGAGCAGCUUUCUUCUUCUCCUUCUUCUUCUUUUAUCAUUUAGUUCAAAUAAUUAAGACCUAAAAGCAUCAAAUUAUUUAUGGAGAAAUUAUAACACACGAUAAUGCAUGGCUCGUGAGCUUUUGUACAUGAGAAUUCAAGCAAGUUAUGGAUACAUCUAGACGUAUUCUAUACUUCAUUUAGACAUAACGACCAAACACGAUAAUAAACCAAACUAAGACACUAAAUUUGAUACUGAAUUUACAUGGCUCAGUCGGUAUGAACUAUUCCAUGAGAGAGAGUAGUAUAAUAUUCCAUCAAGCAAUACAACAAAUCUUACAACCACAUUUAAAUAACUCAAAUAAUCUCAAUAUUUCUCAAUUAUCAAUUAUACCUAAUUAAAACGUACAAAAUUCUUAGCACAAAAAAACCCUAGGCGAGUAAAAACACUCGGAAUUUCCUCCGGGAUGUGAUCCCCGAAGGUGUUCUCCACUUGAUGUAAUUCACGCCUUCCGCACGCAUGGCACGAAGACCCACUAUGCAACAAUCAUCAUAAGAUGGAAAGAUGAAUUAUAUCAAACAUGCAAAACCCUCGGUCAAAGUUAGACCCAUAUUUGAAUACUCUUCUCACGCUCAUAGUUCAACAUCACUUUGGACUCCAACAUGCAGAACGUGAAGAAGGCGAUCACAAUGUCCAAUUCGGACUUUCGUAACAUGGCCUGAAUUUUCUGCACUUCUCUGGCUGCUGGUGAGGGCUUCAUGACCCUCGCCCAGUGGUUGGCGAGCCUCACUAGAGCCUCACCGGCCAUUGUAAGGAAUAAAGCAAAAGAAAGAAGAAGAGGAAAAAGAAAAAGAAAAAGAAAAAGAAAAAGAAAUUGAAAAAAAAAAUAGUAAAAAAAUUGUCCACUUAGCGUCGGCCGGGCAGUAGGCGCCAGCCAGCCAAAAUUUGUCAGAUGGAUUGAAUCGGCACAAUUACAAAAAAUUUAGGACUAAAUUGAUAAAAAAAAAUUAUAAUUGAAUUAAUAUAAAUACAAUAAAUCUAUGACUUUGUUUAGUAAUUUUCUCACUAUGAAACAUGCAUCACACCAAUUAGUUAUCCUCUCGGUAUCUUCAUGCAUUGUAUUCUGACAUCGCCAACAAUGCCAACAUCGCACCUAGGAAAACUAGAGACACGACAACUUCCUCAUCAUCAUCAACCAUGGAACAGCCCUCGCCCACACACCACAUAGCCAUCGACGCAUCGUACCAACACCAGGCAUGGGUCAUCUCAUCCCUCUCGCUGAAUUGCGAAGCGACUCAUACCACACUGGGCAUGGGUCACCUACUUUUCCGUGUACAGCCAAAACGAAACAUUCGAGUUUUUGCCCAAAGGCUUUCUAAAGAGGACCAAAGAUAGGGGCUUGGUGGUGCCAUCGUGGGCCCCGCAGGCCCAGUUCCUGGCCCGCAGCUCCACCAGCCGGGUGCCUCACCCACCGCGGCUAGAACUCGACCCUUGAGAGUGUGGUCAAUGGCGUGCCGCUCAUCGUCUGGCCGGUCUUCGCCAAGCAGAGGAUGAAUGCGCUCAUGCUGAUCCAGGACAACAAGGUGGCACUAAAGCCGAGUGCCGACCAGGAGAGCGGGCUGGCGGGGAGGGACGAGGUCGCCAGGGUCGUGAAGGGCCUGAUGGAGGGCGAAGAAGGGAGGAGGAUUUGGAACCAGAUGAAGGACCUCGAGGACGCGUGGCCAGAGUGCUCGGCAAGGACAGGUCCUCCCCUUGGGCACUUUCCUAGUUGGCUCUCAAAUAGAAUGCCGUAUUUGUAAACUAGCUUCAUUAAAGUCGUAUCGUAUCAUGUGAUAUCUUAUCCAUUUCUUUCUUGUUUAUCAUAUGAUACCUUGUUUAAUGUCAUCAGUGGAGUUGGUUUUUCAGUUCUUGUUUGUUUCCUCUCGACGUGCAUGUGGAGCAUAGCUCUGUCCUGCCAUUUUCCCACCUAUGUAUAUGCUCAGCAUUCCACUUUCCAGUCUAAAUCGAUUCUACCUAUAACUAGGCGAUGCGGGCGUACCCUGCGGUAGGUGACAGGGGAAAGAUAGUCAAAACAGCGGUGUGUAGUCCGGCGGGUGGAGCAAACUUUCUUCGCAGCCAACGACUUGAGCUGUGGGAGUUGGGGAACCAAUCCGCCCAUCGCCAUGAAAUGAUUUCUUGAUGAGCUCACCAUAAAAGGAUGAGGAAGGUGUGGCAUUGUCAUGCCCAAUCUUCUUUUUAAACUAAUGUUGGAAAGUGCAGCAAAAAAUGGGGCAUAAAGGAUGUGCAAGAGAGUUCAAUCAUGUUAAUUAGAAUAAUUGGGGAUAAAGGUGUGAAUGAUUGUAGGAAAAAGUGGGUGAUCACUAAUUGAAUUCCAAAUCGCGGGCCCUUAAAAACGGAAAUAUAUUUAUUUGAAGCACUUUCACAUACAAAAUUUAUAUCUUAUUGAGAGGUAAAUGAUGUGUAGCACUUGUCGGAAUAUUAAAAGUGUUGAAAUGGGCACAAAAUCUCUUAUUACUCAUAUUUAUGGGCUGGGUCAUAAAUGAAUUGGCUAAAACAUUAGAAAUGAGUUUAAGUGGAUCAAAGAAUAAAUAUAAUUAUGCAUGGGUUUAAAUGCGUUGAGAAAAUACCCAUUUCAAGCCCAUUUUCGUUACAACACAAACAGUAUCCACUUUCGGCCCAAUAAAAAAUCUUGUCUGCACUGUUCAUUCCCCUCUGCUUGUCCUCUUCACCUUCUGGCUGCGUGCAAGAUCAGAGCUACUUUCCUUCGGCUUCGGGGCCACCGCCACACCACCCAAUUCAGCAGUCCUGAAGAGGCAAAUCCUAGCAUUAAGCAACGGCUCUGCCACGAUGAUGCUCGAGUGUUGACGUUGUUGUGGAUGAACUCGUAGAACAAGUAGAUGAAUUUCCCAUAAUUUGAGAAGCCCAGGACUUGAUUAUGCUGUUGUGCUGCCUCUUGGUAAUGGCGAAGAGGCUGCAUCAGAGAUGGGGCAAGUCGAGGGGUCACAUGAAGAUGACAUCCUCUUGGGGUUUUUUCGUGUUGGAAAAAAAAGUUUAGAAUAAUUAUAUCACAGUAAGCAUAUUUUUGGAUUCUUUUGUACCUUUUUCAUUUUUACUUUGAGACUAUUGGUUUCAUAAAAGAACCAAAUCAGCUGGCACUAAUUAGUUUUGAAUUUUCGUAAUUGAAAAACAAAUCAAAACUGUUGUGUAGACAACAAUGAAAAUAAUUUUAUAGUGGAAGUAAUUCGAUGGCUCAAAAUUUAGAAAAAGAAAGCAACUUCUCUCAAUAACCGAACAAAUUAUCCUCCUUUUUUGAACAAUUGAAAUCUCAUGUGGUAGGCUACGAUCUUGCAAUGACAAUGCUUGAAAAGAUUUAGGAAAGUGAACAGUGCUUUUUAUGUGGGUCGAUGAUAUAAGUUGGAUUUAAAAAAACUCAAAUUAAUAUAUUUAUGUGAUAUUUACAUAAAAUUAAUUUUUGUGUGAUAAAAAAAUCUCUAAUUAAUAUAUCCAUGACACAUCUACCAAAAUUUUAGGGUAAAGUUGGGACAAAUGUGGUAUGUAUAUACCGAUUUAAGGUUUUUUAUGACAUGAAAAUUAAUUUUAGACAAAUAUCACACAGAUGUAUUGAUUUGUAAUUUUUAAUUAUGUGAAAAGUAGUUUGGGGUGCAUGGGGCAUAGGUGUACUAAUUUAAAUGUUUUAUAGUGUUAGUCCUAAUAAGCAAUAUUUUUUCCGGACAAAGAUUUGGUACAAUUUAUGUUUUUUUUUUUCCUUAUAGAUGUGCCGACAAGUUUUUGGUAGAAGUUUUUACUCUUACGUGUGAAUUCUUGAACCUUUGAUUAUUUAAAAAAAAAAAAUUCUCAGAACCCGUGUCAUUUUCUAGCUAACAUGGGAAUCAUUAUCGAACUCUUAUAUGUAGUCAAAUAUUUAUUAUUUUCGUGAGGUAGUCCACAAGAAUGUAUUAUAAUAUGAAAUGGCAGGAAUUUUUAACAAUUACUGAUGGUUCUUGACUAAAUCAUGUCUAAAUUAGACACAACCCUAUGAAGACGCAAAAAUUAUGAUUCCUUAGAGUGCAUUUUAGGUCGCUUUUUGAAAUUUAAUUUCGUGAAAAUUAGAGAACCGCGUGAAUGAGACCUUAAUGAUUUUUUCUCAAAAGAAUAAACAAAUAAAAGGGUAAUUAUCCUGAACUUCAUUAGCAAUUGUACGACCGUAUACAUAUGUCAAAACUGAUUAAUCUUCUCUCGUUGUAUCAUAUUGAAAGAUUUGACCAAUUACAUGAAGGUCAAGUUGCAUGGCUCCUGUGAGGAACAGAAAGUUUCAAAUAUAAUUUAGAAUUAAUGCUACCAAAAAAUUUAAAUUAAUACAUUUAUAACAAAUUUACAAUAAACAAAUUUUUUAACCACAAAAAGUACCAAAAUUGGUACACCUGCAACAAAUUUGCCUUUCGUUAGUUUCCGUUUAAGUUUAUUGUCAAAUUGCCAAGUUGGAUAAUACAUGGCAAUUGACAUAUACACUAAUUUAGGGUUUUACACUCUGUUUAUUACAAAUUUAGUAGUUUGUGAUUUUCAAUGGUAUUAAUAUAAUUUAAUGAAAAAUUAAUAGAUGGUAAAUUUGUUAUAAAUAUACCAAUUUGAGUUUUUUUGGUUAAAAAAUUAAUUUUUGGUAAAUUUAUCAGAAAUGUGCCAGUUAAAGAUUUUUUGUAGUAAAAAAAUACUUUAAAGUAAAUUUGUCGCAUAUGUACCAAUUUAAAAAUUUUCAUAGUAUUAAUAUUUUAAUUGAAUUAGAUGAGUAAAGCUUUUUCUUAUUUUGAGGAUUGAGGUAUAUAUAUUGAAGAAUUAUUUACUAAGGUUAUAAGAAAAUAGGUCUUUGGCGAUUGAACGAAUCUAUCAGUAGGCAUGUGUAUAAGAGACUCAUUCGUUACAUAAUAAGGAUCUGUCAAAUCACUUUACCUAUCAUUUUUAUAAAACCAAUCUUAGUAUGUCAAAUAUGAUCCUGAUUAAUGAGAGCUGAAAUAUUGUUUCUAGUUCUUCUUGACCACAUUAGUGGAGUCAUGACAGACUAUAAUAUCUCUUUCUUUUCAGCCAAGUGAAUGAAUCCAAGCUAAACUCCAUGUUACUGUGAAUAUGCACAUGCUUAACCACUAUACCAAUCUUAAGUUUGAUUAGAACUCUCAACUGUGUGAUCCUUACAACAACAUCAAACCGGUGCCUCAAUACAAUUAUCCAAGUCCUUCGAUAGUAAUCAUUCACAAUUGUUAGUGUAAAUCAAGCAUCCUUCCUAAAAGGAAAUCACGACAACCUACAAACUUUCAAAUAAGUCAAAUUUCCAGUCCUUAUGAUUUCUUGGAUAAUUGUGCUAAACUGCACUAUCUGUUGUUUGAUAGAGUUACAACACUUACAUACAUUAAGCUCCUCGACCAUAUUACUACACAAUAGGUUUCCUUCACUCAGAAUCGCUAGGCUUCUCUCGCCUAAGCAUAUCAUACAAUUUAGACUUUCAAACAGAUUUAUUCAACAUUUUAGUAAUGAAAUUCAUCACUGUCUUCCCUUGGAACUCAUAUCGGCCACUAUGCUCAUUUCCUCUUAUUAUCAUAAGGGCAUCUCAAGUUAUCUUCAAAGCUCCACCUCUUUGAAAAAUACUGAUACCCAGCUAAGUCCAAAACACUAAAGGAUAUUGAGUGAUAGUAACGUAAACCCAUCCCUAAUCCACACCUUCGAAGGGGCUCUUGUUCAACUAUGAAACAUGCAUCACACCGGUCAAAUAUCCUCUCGGUACCUUAAUGCAUUCUAUUAUGACAUGGCCAAUGAUCCCCAACAUUGCAAUUAGCAUUGUUCCCCAAUCAUACUAUACUAUUAGGAAAACUAGAGAUAUGACAACUUCCUCUCUUAUGCAGACAAGCAUGUUAAUUUACUUUCUACGACAGAAAAACCCACUGAAGUAGAUAAAUUCUGAUGCAUCAAAUACUUCAAAAAUCUUACUCAUUGAAUUAGUCCUCUUCUCCCGCUCAACGUCCAACGCCACUCGAGACUCCAAGCAAGCAAAAAGGAUUCGGACUUGAAGAAGGCGGUCUCAAAGUCCAAUUCGGACUCCCUUUAUACGGCCAACUUUCCCGCACUACGAUUCUGGUUGGGUUUCAUCUAUGGGUACAAACUCAAUAAUUUGUUAACAUAUCCUUUCCAUAUUGAGUUUGAUAACAAGCCCAUAUGGCGAUGGUAAGUCAAACUCAUCAAACUCGAGCAAAUGGAUAACUUAUCUAAUCGACCCUAAUGAGCGUCCAUUCACGGAGUUAAUCAAGUCAAAGGUUGAGGUAUCUCAUAUUAUAUAUAUUUUUCUUUAUCAACCGAAGAAAACGACAGUCAAUCCAGUUUCAAAACCUGAUUGGGAGCCAUACACGGCCUUAGGCUUCACUAUACUUAACAUCAAUUUGUCCGGAAACUCAACAUCUAUCAUGUAUGAAGUCCACUUGUGAGUUGGGCUUUGCCAUUGGACCCACGCAGCUGUUUUCUAGUGUUUUGGAUAAGGGGUUUUGGGACUUGUGUAUAUGACCGUAGACAUGACACAUUAGCCCCAUUUGCCGUGUUGAUCUCUAUUUGUAUGUUUCUGCAUGAUCGCUGCUGAAUGGCAUAGGAUUAAUUACGUAGAACAACAUGUAAAUGCCUUUAUAGAAAUAUUGGAGCGUUAUAAGAGUAGACGGUCCCACAAAUCAAAGAGAAUUGAGUGAUUUUUAAAAUUACAAACGUGUUACAAUAUUUAAUUCACGCGUUUCCCUUAAUUUUUUAGAUGUUACAGAUUUCAUAUGCGUUUUGCAGAUUUUCUAGUCGUGUUUUGAUAACUUUCCCUUUUAUCAAUAUAUAUUUUUUUUAAUUUUGUUAUUCGAUUUCAAUUAUUUAGUUAUUUUCUAAAUUGUGACUUCCCUAUAAAUAGACGCCUAAAAUAUUAUAAUAUGGACUUCAUUAUUCAAAAUAAACAUUAUCGUGUGGAAUAAGUAUAACUUUCUCUGCGUCACUUGAACAGGCAUCGAAUUAGACACAUUCACUAGGCAGGAGAGGUUCAACCAGAAAACAGACCUACCACCACAAUGCCCGAAGAAUUCAACAACCAAGAAAGCAAGUAUUAAAAGCCCCCUCAUCGCUUUUGGAAAUUUCCUGCAGCAAGAACAAGAACAUUUGCAAAUUAUCAUCAUCAGCCAUGGAACAGCCCUCGACCACAGCCCACAUAGCCAUCGUACCAACGCCGGGCAUGGGCCAUCUCAUCCCUCUCGCUGAGUUUGCCAAGAGACUCAUCCACCGCCACAGCUUCUCGGUCACCUUCGUCAUCCCCAACGACGGCUCCCCGGCCAAGGCCCAGAGGUCCCUCCUCGACUCCCUCCCUCCCUCCAUCACCUACGUCUUCUUGCCCCCAGUCUGCUUCGACGACCUCCCCGCCGAGACCACCCGCAUCGAGACCAUCGUCGCCCUCACGCUGGCGCGCUCCGUCCCUUCCCUCCGUGACGAGGUGCGGAGGCUAAAGGAGUCCACGAGGCUCGUGGCCCUCGUCGCCGACCUCUUCGGCACCGACUCCUUCGAUGUGGCCCAGGAGUUCAACGUCUCCCCUUACAUUUUCUUCCCCACCACGGCCAUGUGCCUGUCGCUGUUCCUUCACUUGCCGAUGCUGGACGAAGCGGUCUCUUGCGAGUACAGGGACUUGCCCGAGCCGGUGAAGAUACCCGGUUGCAUACCCAUCCACGGGAAGGACCUGCUCGACCCGGUCCAAGACCGCCGCAACGACGCCUACAAGUGGAUCCUCCACCACGCGAGGCGGUACAGGCUGGUGGAGGGGAUCUUGCUAAAUAGCUUCGAGGAGCUCGAACCAGGGGCGGUCGAGUACCUGAAACGGGAAGAGCCCGGGAGGCCGCCGGUCUACCCGGUGGGACCGCUGGUGAACAUGGAGCAGAGC